AUGCAAAGACAAAAUAUAUGAAAGCAAACGAGCACAGAGAGAGAGAGAGAGAGAGAGAGAGCAGCAUUCAUUGCUUAUUAAAUGUGAAGCGGACAUGAGAACUGAGGUAAUGUGCCUACACUCAUAAGCAAGCAUAGUUACCAGGACUAGCGCAGCAGGCCAUGUGUAGGAAACUAAAAGCAGACGUCCAGAAGGCCCUCCUCCUCACUUUGUGGUUUCAACAAAUGGGCAGUGCUCAGGUCCAGCUCUAAAGCUCUGCCACCUUGAACCUAACACAUGGGGUUUCCCUCCCACUCCUCCACCUGCAUCAUCAACACAAUCAAACCAUGUCCUUUUUGGACAACGCAAGUCACUCUGAAUCAAUGUACCAGUUGGCUUAUCAGGGAGAGGUCGUCGAGAGUCGAGUACAUCGGAGUGAGGAGUCCUCCAAAUCUCGAGCCUCUCCUCUUGACUAUUAGCAGUUGGCGAAAAUUUAUCAGCCGAUCAGAACAGGGAGCACUCUGCUUGGAAAUUCUCGUGGAAUGGGUCUGGCUGGUGGUCUUGUCAGGCGACUCUUCUCCAGAACUCGAUCUCGUUCGGGCUUUUCAAAAUGUCAUGUAAAAACCACUUCAUAUCUCGGAUACACUUUUGCCGCUUUGCUAUGGCAUCCUGUUUGUCUUAUGAUUGGUUGAUGCUUGUGGUUAAUAUGUUUCUUUGACGUGAGGGACUGCUCUAUUAUCUGGGACCAAUUCGCUACCGCUGGAGAAUUAAACUGUGGUUCAUGAGAGCAAUGCAUCAUGGAAACUGCUGAUUGAUGCAGCACCAAGCAUGAUAAGAUGGUGCAGAAACCAUGCAAUAAACCGGCUAUCGAUUCGUUAGUUCUGGCUCAUGAAUCGCAGCUAUAUUUGAUCAACUCUGGGUCUCGACAGGAGAGGCGCUUCCCGGUAGAUAGGAGCAGAUGGAGUUCGAUCGGACUCUACCUUUGCGGAGAAGAAUUCAGUUGGGUUCUGGCAGAGUGGGACAUAGCCUCUUGCAGAGAGAGACACUGAAGCGACGAUGAAGCAGCCCGAAGCUGAACCUUCAGGAGACGGUGCUGCAACCCAUGGAGAAAUCAAAGUAGAAGAGAAUGAAGAGACAUGUACCAAACGGAUCGAGAGCCUACUGCCCACACAGUCUUCUCGUCGAGAGGAAGCAGCAAUCGUUAUCCAAUCAGCUUUCGGAGGAUUUCUGGUUAUUUCUACAUCCAAUUACUUCCCAUGGAUGAGAGUCAUGAUGACGUUCUGCUAAUCGGCAUCUUUCACGAAUUAUCCCAUCACCCUAAAUGAAUGUGGACUUGCUUUGAAGAAACUCGUAUUCUUAUAAAGACGCAUCCUCCUCGCGAUCGAUCGUAUAUAUAGUUUAUGAAAGUGAUGUCACCACAGAAAGAAAGGAAAACGAAAACUGCCCUUCAUUAAUUCUGCAACACGAAUGCUGCUCUAACCUGGGAUGGGAUGUAGAACACUGGAUUUCACAGGAAGACGUUGCUUCUAACCUCUCUCCUUUGAGAUUAUGCUGUUUGAGUUCAGAUUCACUUGCAAGAAUGUUUCUUGCAUAUUUAUCUAUGAAGCUGUGUCUCCCUUGCAGGAAGAGUGGGACGACAGCACUCUUAGCUGCAGCAUCUCAAACCUGAGAAUCCGGAACAAAAUGGAAGCGACGACCAGACGCCAAAGAGCCCUUGCAUACGCUCUGUCACAGCAGCUGAGAGUGAUGGAUGUGAACCCAGCUGAGAACUCGCGUGACGAGAAAAUGAUGGGCGCAAACGCACCCCACUGACCUGGGCGCGGGGUGGAGCUGGCUAGAGAGAUGGAUGGCGACACGGAAGCAAGAGCAGAUAUCGGUCCAUGAUGAUCGUCGUAUUAUGGAGCCGUUCGAUCAGAUUUCCACGACCAACACGGUCGACAAGAGAUUUGACUUGGCAGUCGGGGAAAAGGAAAUCUGUGGCUCUAAUGAUGUAUGGGUGAACGUCUAUGCCUCUUCCGUGCCUUGUCAGACUCCCAGAAUCGGUUGUCCGCCAGAUGGUACAAGGAAGUUGAAGACGACGAGAAGGAAAACGAUGCCAGAUUACCACUGCAAUUCCCAGCCUAGCAAGGUAAGCAUCGGUUUCUUUCUGAAGCGGCAGCAAGGUCUUUCAUCAGCGACACGGAUGCACGCCAAGGAAAACGAAAGCGAAAGCGAUGAUGCUAGCUAGGCAUGCAUCAUCGAUAUGUUAUUCUAAAAUAUGGAACCUGAAUCUAUGCAUUCAUGAGACUGCCGAACUGACUGACUCACAUGAUUAAUCUUCUGCUGCCGUAGUUUUGCAAGUAGACACUGAUUGUCUUCCAAUAGUGUGCGUCUGUCAACGAUAUCCAUCCACACACGUUUAUAUCAUUAUGAAAAUCCAUCGCUUGUUUGGU